rnacentral:lncRNA from 1 species
CUGGAUUAAAUACAACACACAUUUAACAAAGAUAGAUCGUGUCCAGUUUAACUACUACAUUCUUAGAAUAAUUGAUUUAUUUCGCAGUAGUAAAAUAUUCUUGAUCUAAUCUUUGUAGACAUAGAUAAAGACCUUGGUACACUGCCACAUUACUAGGAAAGCUGUGGAAUGUAAAGAUUUUUUUUUUUUAAAAAAGCAAUUUGCUCAAAGGGGAAGAUGCAGUUGAUAAUGAUGAAAGGUGACCACGAGUUUCUUUGUUCAGGAAGAGGUUCCUCAACAGCCUUAUUUAAUAUUUUCACCAAUGAUUUUUAGUAAAAUAAGGCUUUGAAAUUAUUAAAAUUGCUGGCAGACAAUAAGGAAGCAGUAAUACUUUGGAUGAUUGGAAUGAUGUUGAGAACCUAAUUUAUUAAGUGGGAUUGCAUUUUUAUCCAGAAAUGUAGGUCACACACUUUGGCAUCUAAAGAAGUGCUUCUGAUACCAUAUGGAGCCUCUUCAUUUAAGAAAGAGAAGAAAAAUUGAAGAAUGUAGUUAUGUGUGUAAAUCUUCCAGGGGAUGACUGUAGGUAAUGGUAUGACAUGGCUGGGAAAACAGUGAAGACAUCCUCAGAGUGUAUCAGUGUUGCUGCUCUGUCAGAAAUCUCUAGGACACUGCAUCCAGGCAGUUUUAAGUUUGAAGGAAGCAGAAAAGUACUGAGGGUUGACUGGGCAUGUCAAGCAUGGAAGAUAAAUAGAAGGAAUUAGUUCUGCAUAUCACCUUGAGAACCAAGAGAGUGGCUGAUGGAAAGGGUUUAAAGGUUCAGCUCUCUCUACUGAAUGGAAAGGUGGAAUUAAAUGGUUGCAUUUGCAUGCCUCAAAGAGAUAAAGAUGAAUUGCAUCCUUAACCUGUUGGACUCUAACAAAUGGUUCUCAUCUGUUUGUUUCAAAUAAUUUUUGUACUGUAUACUUUGUAUUACCUCCAAACUCAUAAAUUUAAAGUAAUUUUUUUAUAGGUUG